AAAUAGAACUUUGCAGAGAGAGUUAACAGGGCGUGAAACCGUUAAUUGGCAAACGAAUCGGAGCCACGAAGUCGUUUCGCUGAUAAAUUGGGCCAAGUUCAAUGUUUAAGCGGUUUGCUUAAAUGUGUAUUCUUGUAGUCCAAUCAAACACAUUGUAAACGUACACUGCAACCAGUUAGACGAUUGGUUAUGGGCCCAGUUGGUUGUGCGUGUUAGUAAUAGUUUUGGUGCGUUUCGGCGCACUCGAAAUUGUUGAACAUGUUUCACAAGUGAACUAUAACCAAAUACUGACUGGCAAAAUAAAAAUCGCCUCAUUAGAGGCGUAAUACAAAAGGCAGUUGUUUAUAUAUAAAUCUACAUGCUUGACCAUGGAGUCUUAAGCUUAACAUUUUUGAAUUUGGACUUGCUUGCUACCAAUGGGGCAACUCUUGGUGCUUGUACAGUUUCCAUCUAAUCGGGUGUUGACUUGAUUGUAUGUUCGUUCAAGUAUGAAACGAUUGGGUUUAAAUAUAAAACAAUUUGCAAUUUGAUUAGCAGUGAGUAGGUCGGCUUUCCGAACGACCCGUCUUGAAACACGGACCAAGGAGUCUAAUUAGGUAUCGAGUCGAUCGGUCUUGAAUAGGCCAGACUUUUUAGAUGUCUCUCAUUGAAGGCGUAGAGACAAUCAUGUGAUCAUUGAAACAAAACCAGUUUGAAUGCGCAACAUGUACCUGUUCGUAUAACAAUGUUGUUAAAAUUGUUGGGCGGAGUAAAGAGAUACCUGAUUGGUACCCGAAAGAUGGUGAUGCUUGGGCAAAUUGAAGCCAGAGGAAACUCUGGUGGAGGAUUGUAGCGAUUCUGACGUGCAAAUCGAUCGUCAGACCUGAGUAUAGGGGCGAAAGACUAAUCGAACCAUC
rnacentral:rRNA from 1 species